GUGGUGAAUUCGACAUGUCGGAUGCACUGGACGGUGACCUGGACCUGCAGGAUACACUGGAAGGAGUACCUACCCUGACCCCAGAACUGGUUUGACCUGGUUGGAACCUGGAAAUUUUCACCACUUGGUUUGGGGUGUAGGAGGGGCUCACGGUGGGUUGGGUUAUGCUUAUGUAUGGUAAUUAAUGCUAAUGUGUGCUGGUGCUUCAAUGCAGUGCUGGCUUAUUACAUGCUAAUUAGUCUCACCACAUUGGAUGGUGAGACCAAUUCCUGGUGGAAGUAUUAGCAUAAUUAUUUAUGCAAGUGAGCACAGAGGGUUUAUGCAAAUUUGGUUCAAAUUAAACUGAGUUUAUUCUCAGAUUUCGGGUGUCAUCACAUAUGUUAAAGUGCACGGUUGGGGGCAAGGCAUAUGUAGAUUUGCAUUUAUUUAAAUUACAGAGUUUCCCUGUUGGUGCGAUCUCUCUUUAGAAUAAUCCGUGCAAAUUUACUCAAAUAUAACCAAGUGACUGAGUGUCCAAGCUCUGUUUAUGCUAAUUUAUGCUUAUGUGUUCUGCUGUGAUCCUGGUCAUUCCUGGGCCUCACAUACUUCCUCCUUCCAGCAAGGCUAAAGGUGGUGACAUAACAUGGAGGCGUUUCUUGCACUGUACUCCUACUGGAGCUUAAUGCCUUUACAGGAGGGCGUGGCUUUGCAUAGUGAGCAUGAUUAGGGGAUGAUGACGUCAUUUGGAACUCGGAUUGGUGAUUUCACAGGGCCAUGGCAGCAUUUCUGAUGUCAACAUUCUCUCAAGGUGGGUUUUCUGACACAGACUUGGAAGACGUAGCAGGGACUGGAGGUCGAGGUUGGCCAUGCCCUGUCCGUGUUGUUAUCACAUUGUGACUCCAGCCCCUCAGUGUCAUCUUCCCAACGUAGCCCCAUUCCCUCACCUCCCCAGGGCUUCCUGUGGGUGGGAGAUUACCUAGCAUCCUCACCCAGGCCCCGCCCACUGCCCUGUCUGUCCCAUGAGGUCACCCCUGACUUUGCCUUUCAGAAGCAGGAGGCGCCAGAGCCAGACACAACGACCCUGUAGCAAGAGCAGGAGCCUUGCGCUGAGGCUGCAGCUGUGGGUGAGGUGGACCAUCAUGGGAUUUAUUUUUCUACGUAACCUGCAGAUCCCAGGUCAGCAAAAUCAGGCGGCGGUGAGUGAUGUCAUCGUCGAGAACCCAUCUUGGGAGCCAUCUUGUCCACCUGUGCCAUCGUUCCAAUUGCUUCCGGGUCUGAUUUCCCAUGAUAUCCCUCUCUACCUCAUGCAGGCCUCUACCCCAAGUUCCCGCGGAGAUGGAGGAAGUGGGUCUAAACGACCCGAAAGUGGGCAGGAACCAAAGGUUUGCGGGAGGGGCUGUCUGGGAAAAUGGAAGUGGAGUUGCAACCCACCUCCCUGCGCUGCUUGCUGGAAACUCAGAGCCACUUCUGCCCUUCACCCAGGGCAUGUCCACAGCCACGCCCACAACCCAGAGACGAGGACUUCUUCCCUGAGCUCCAUUUCCCGGUCGGCAUGCAAAUUAAUAGCUUGCAGGGAACCCGUGUCUGCCAUUGUGUCACCUGUCAUUUCCAUGACUGCUUGAGCUGUAUGGUGCUGGUGUCAGCUACUUCAGGUCAGGUAAUGGCAGGUGCCUGUGCUGGAGUGGGAGAGGUAAGCCUCACCCAGGCCUGCCCUCUGGCCCCUACACAUCUGGGAGGAGGGUCCAGGACUUCUGACACUUGCUUGAGUAGGGGCAUGACUUCCGCUUCCUGUUUUCCCCUUGUGGUAUUUCCCGACAGUCCCAGACAGGGAGACCGGACUGUGACAUCGCUGUGGGGUGUCCACUUGCUGUCUUCCACUGUCUCAUGAGGUCAUCACUGUCACCACUCCCCGUCUCCACACCAUCAUCUGCUUCCUGUCCUGUGACUUCACAUAUCCUCACAGUCACUCACUUUUUCCUCACAGUCACCGGGUCAAAUAAAUGUUUGUCCUGGCUCUUCCUAUGAUGCUCU
ensembl:lncRNA